rnacentral:tRNA from 1 species
UGGGGCGUCGCCAAGCGGUAAGGCACGGGGUUUUGAUCCCCGCAUUCCCAGGUUCGAAUCCUGGCGCCCCAGCCA